GUAGGUGGCAAGCGUUGUCCGGAAUUAUUGGGCGUAAAGCGCGCGCAGGUGGUUCUUUAAGUCUGAUGUGAAAGCCCCCGGCUCAACCGGGGAGGGUCAUUGGAAACUGGGGAACUUGAGUGCAGGAGAGGAAAGUGGAAUUCCACGUGUAGCGGUGAAAUGCGUAGAUAUGUGGAGGAACACCAGUGGCGAAGGCGACUUUUCUGGCCUGUAACUGACACUGAGGCGCGAAAGCGUGGGGAGCAAACAGGGAUUAGAUACCCUGGUAGUCCACGCCGUAAACGAUGAGUGCUAAGUGUUGGGGGGGGUUUCCGCCCCCUCAGUGCUGCAGCUAACGCAUUAAGCACUCCGCCUGGGAGUACGGUCGCAAGACUG
rnacentral:rRNA from 1 species